rnacentral:lncRNA from 1 species
GGAUACCCAAGAGGAAGGUCAGCUCCGCCGAAGGGGCCGCCAAGGAAGAGCCCAACAGGAGAUCGGGGCGGUUGUCAGCUAAGCCUCCUGCAACAGUGGAAGCGAAGCCGAAAAAGGCAGCAGCGAAGGAUAAAUCUUCAGACAAAAAAGUGCAAACAAAAGGGAAAAGGGGAGCAAAGGGAAAACAGGCCGAAGUGGCUAACCAAGAAACUAAAGAUUUACCUGCAGAAAAUGGGGAAACGAAAACUGAGGAGAGUCCAGCCUCUGAUGAAGCAGGAGAGAAAGAAGCC